UGCAUCUGAGGCCAGUGAGGAUGAGAACCUCCGGGGGCAGGAGGUUCGACUCGAGCGAAGCGAGAGAACGUUGCCGCUGGCAAUGGCCCGAAGGCGAGGCGCUUUAGCGCGAGUAAUCUUCCCCCACCACUG
rnacentral:sRNA from 1 species